ACUUGCGGGAGCUUGCUCCCAAAAGUUAGCGGCGGACGGGUGAGUAACACGUGGGCAACCUGCCUAUAAGACUGGGAUAACUUCGGGAAACCGGAGCUAAUACCGGAUAAUUCUUUUCUACACAUGUAGAAAAGCUAAAAGACGGUUUACGCUGUCACCUAUAGAUGGGCCCGCGGCGCAUUAGCUAGUUGGUGUAUUGUAACGGCUCACCAAGAAAAAGAUGCGUAGCCGACCUGAGAGGGUGAUCGGCCACAUNGUGACUGAGACACGGAAAAGACUCCUACGGAGUCAGUCAGUGGGAACUUC
rnacentral:sRNA from 1 species